rnacentral:rRNA from 1 species
UACGUAGGGUGCGAGCGUUGUCCGGAAUUACUGGGCGUAAAGAGCUCGUAGGUGGUUUGUCGCGUUGUUCGUGAAAACUCACAACUCAAUUGUGGGCGUGCGGGCGAUACGGGCAGACUGGAGUACUGCAGGGGAGACUGGAAUUCCUGGUGGUAGCGGUGGAAUGCGCAGAUAUCAGGAGGAACACCGGUGGCGAAGGCGGGUCUCUGGGCAGUAACUGACGCUGAGGAGCGAAAGCGUGGGGAGCGAACAGG